GAUGAACGCUGGCGGCGUGCCUAAUACAUGCAAGUCGAGCGAACAGACGAGGCUCUUGCUCCUCUGACGUUAGCGGCGGACGGGUGAGUAACACGUGUAUAACCUACCUAUAAGACUGGGAUAACUUCGGGAAACCGGAUCUAACACCGGAUAAUAUAUUGAACCGCAUGGUUCAAUAGAGAAAGACGGUUUUGCUGUCACUACUAGAUGGUUCCAGGCCGCAUUAGCUAGUUGGUACGGUAACGGCUUACCAAGGCUACCAUGCGUAGCCGAACUGAGAGGGUGGUCGGCCACACGGGAACUUGGACACGGUCCAGACUCCUACGGGAGGCAGCAGUAGGGAAACUUCCGCAAUGGGCGAAAGCCUGACGGAGCAACGCCGCGUGGGUGAAGAAGGUCUUCGGAUCGUAAAGCCCUGUUAUUAGGGAAGAACAGAUGUGUAAGUAACUAUGCACGUCUUGACGGUACCUAAUCAGAAAGCCACGGCUAACUACGUG
rnacentral:rRNA from 1 species